GCAUUGAUAGCUCAGUGGCAGAGCAGUGGGCUGUUGACCCAUGCGGGUUUUAGCCUCGGUCGAUGCG